ACCCUGUAUCACAUGAAAUACGUUCGGAGGAAACUAUUUUGCAAAUCGCAAUUACGUUACAUGCCAACAUAUAAGCAGUGCUAUUACGUUGGUCCUUAACCUAAUAUAAGCAGUGCUAUUACGUUGGUCCUUAACCUAAUAUAGCCAAUUUAUUGCAGUGCUAUUACGUUUGUCCUGAACAUAUACAUCCAAAGCAUAGAUUAAAUCGUACUAUACCAUACGAUACUGUUCAUCGCAUUCAAGAAGCGUGACCCGUAGCCAGAAAAAAAACUCUGGGUGUGCAUCAUAAAAUAUGUGUGUGUCACAGGCAAGAAAACCAGAAACGCUGAGGAAUUCAGGUGCUGUAAAUCCGGUGGACAGGACUCAUCUCCUUAUAGAUCAAGAUAAUUUAUAACAGAUAGUUGACAUGGUAAGCAAGUUAAUAUUUUUUAAUAAAAAACGAAAUAAGACGAAUAGCAUACAUUAUUGUUGUUGCGGUGUGUCACGUGACAAUCAUGACCGUCGCCAUGGACACAAGGGGUCGGAUAUUUAGAGUUAAAUAUUUUUAACUUACGCGUGAAAUGGUUGAUUUUAAAAAUAUAUAUAUUCUAAGUAAACAACAACAGCCCAGGUUUAGUAAACAUUUUUUUAUUGAAACUAUAAAUAAAUAUUCUGCAUCCAUUUUAGGUGUGCCACUGUGGGUGGCUCCCGCACACCCGUGGCUACGCCCCUGCCGUGACCCAAAUCUCGUUCGCACAUCAUCGCGAUGUUUAUCAUCUAUUUACAAACGUAGCCAGUCGCCACAUCUUUUUUCUUCACAUACAUCUCAUACUCCAUCUACACACUCCACAACAUUUAAACCAGUGGCUCUUUUAAGAGCCAUCACCUGCAAAAGCUCUCCUACUCUGGCACGCACUCACUCUCCAACUCACACACAUGGCACCUGGAUCCAGAACACGCCAUAGUGCUUGCUACAAAGAAAUUGGCAGUGCCUCCAAAAAGAGGCAUUGUAAGAGGCAUUUAUUUGUACACAUGCAUUUACCAAUUGAAAAGCUUUUUGUAUUAUAAUGGUCUUUUUUCACAGACUGUGAUGAUGCAUUUCCACAGUUAUUAACAUGAUUAGCCUAUCCCCUGUAUGUCAUUGAUGCGCUACUUCAAAGAUGUGAGGAAAAGAACAUACACCUGCGAGUAGUCUGUUUGUUACUUUGCCUGUGUUAUUGCCUCACAUUUGCAGAAAUCAGGUGAGGGCAUAUCACACAACAUUGCCUUGGCCGUACCAGCAUUUCAUGUUUAUGGACACAAAUUGCCCUGCCAGAUCAAGUACAGUACCAGAUGGCUUGAUGGGUUUGGGCUCACAGACGGGGAAGGAAUGGAAAGGCUGUGGUCUUUCCUCCAAAGAUUUGCCAGAGUCACAAAGGAGAUGACUCCAUCUCAUCGCCUUGACCUACUGACUGAUGCCCUUUUGCAUUAUGGACGGUGGAAAUCAACUGACCUAGAGGUGCAGCUCCUGCAAAGAGUAGACAAAGCAGAGAAAAUAUUGAUUCUCGCUCCUCAAGAAGAUAUCUCAUGUCAUCAGAGAGGCACCAGUGUUGAUUUCUGAAGGAGACAUGGAGAGAUGGAAAAAAGCUAGCCCAACCGAAACCAAUAAACACUGUCUGUAGAUGGAAAAGGGACUACAUCAUCAGACUGAUUCAGUUCUACAAGUUCAAAAUUGAGGACUCUGCUGAACAUUGAGGAAAAAAUACAGAAUCUGGAGAAGAUGGCAAGAGUCUGAUUCAAACUUCCAGUCUACCCUUAAAGAUGUGGCUAGAACUGAAUCAAGGGAGAGAGCAGUCCUCCUCCACCUGAGAAGAAUAUAUCCAGCUUUGCUUCAGAUGGGCAGGGCAUUGCCAUUAGACUCUCCAAGCAGGUAGCGACAAUUGAUUUUCAGGAAUCAUAUGAUCCCUCUUGGCAUGUCUACUUCUGCUUUAAUGACACUAUUGAAGAAGAUGAUGUUUCGAGGAGUCUAAAAAGGCGAGGGAUUGAUGCCUUACAUAUGAAGACUCGGGCAGCUGAGGAAAAGUGCAUGCUUUACAAGGAAAUGAGAAGUCUAAGGGGCCAGUCACACCAAAAGCGUUUAUGGCAGUUGCAGGCGCCUUUUUUGAAUGAUAUUCUAUGGGCAGGGUGCGUUUGCGCGCCGAGCGCCUUGCGGGUUUUGCCGCCUGCCGCGCACGCGUUUUUGAAGGAGCGCUGAGAGCGGAGAAGUGCCCGACGUCAUUCGGGUCUUUCCAUUGUCCAAUCGAAUGAGGGGAGAGGCAGGCCUUACGUUGUGGUGAGUGAAGUUUACAGUUGCUUUGAAGAACCGGACUCCACUCGCUCACUCUCUCCUGCGUGUUUCUGCACCUCUCACCCUCAAACAAGGUCAGAGCAAGCGCCCUCUUUUUAAAGUUUCUGCUAAUAUGACAGUUAACAGCAAAAGAGCGCUCACGCUUCAAUAUUUGAUUGACAAGACAGCUGACUCGGUGGUUGCUUAGCAAUAUGAAAAGCCGCGUCGCACUGCUCUUUUUUUUAAAAAGGCAUUGCGUCGCGCCUUGCGUUUGCAAGCGUUUAUAGCGCUUUUGGUGUGACUGGCCCCUAACUGAACACCCCAUCAGGAGCAGGCCUCUAACAUCUGUGUUUUAACAUCAAAGACACUGAGCAGCCUGGUGCAAAAGCUGCUCUCAUUCAACACCUCCAACACCUGGAAAGAAAACUACAUCAAGCCAUUGUGAUGUUUCACCCACAUCUAUCGGACAUUGUUCCUGCAGACAACCCCCACUUGUGUCAGGCCCUCCCCAUGCCAAGCAUACAGACACUGGUAUACAAUGAUAAGAGUGAUAAUGAUGUAAAUUUGGAUAAAUAUGAUAACUAGCACUACAGAUUUUUUGUUAAUUUUUAGUCUGAUAUUGUAUUCUGUAAAAAGAAAGAUGUAAAAUGUAUAGUAUAUGUUGCAGCAUAUCAUAGAAACCUUUAUGGUGGUGUAAUAUAAUGCUCGCCUUACUUGUGCAAACAUGAUGCUUUACUAGAUCUGAUUUAUUUUAAAACGUAGAUACUGUUUUUAAGCACACAUAUUCGCAAUAGUCUGUGUGAGGACAAAAUUGUGUGUUUACCAUUGUGAUGUUACUUAUUUACUGUAAUGUACAAAUGUGGUAAAUGUGUGUAAGGUGUUUUGUUUUUGUGAGCUAAGUUAAAAUGACAAAGUAUUGAAUCUUGAAUCCUUUGAAACAAAUACUGUA